rnacentral:lncRNA from 1 species
AACUAGGCGGAUAAAGAGGGAGCAACUCCAGAGCUUGUAUGACUUCUUUGGGCUUAAUGCAGCUACAGGGGGUCCUGUGCUGAGCAGGCAAAGCAGAUUUUCGUUGCCAAAAUGAGCUUCAGCCAGCACACGUGGUCCCAUACCAUUGGAUUUUCCUGCUUGGAUGGAAUCCACCAUUGGAUUUUCCUGCUUUUCCUGAUGGCAAGGCAGGGAUGGCUCUGCAGAUGCUCUUCGAAUGGCCACAGCCCAACCAAGCACGAGAAACUCUCCCACUCGCCAUCUUCUGCAGUUGUCACCUUGGGUUAUGAAGAGGAAAUAUGAAUUUUCCAGCUCCCUAGACCCUGCUGGGAAGACUUGUAGCAUCAUCCUGGAGGAAAUCCUGCUUAUCAUGUCAGCUGCCAGUCAUCAAGGUCCAAUUCUGCCCCUGUUGUCUCUUGGGAUCCAGUCCCAUGUUGCUUCAACCCAAAUUUCUCCUGCUGCAACACCUCGUGGCACGAUCAGCUAUUCCCCCUCUGCUGCCACAGCCUGCUGAUGCAUCGAUGGGCAGGAGCUGGGGGGGGGGAGAACCUUUGCUGGAGAGCGGUGGGCUCAGCUGUUGGACAAAACGGACCAAGAGGCAAGAGGUGGGAAGAAAAAAACAGGAGAGAUCUAUGGAUGCAGCCUUGCUUUUUUGGGAUGCCUUUCCCAGGACAGACCCCCCCGGCACGGGACAGAUUGAAGCACACAGUGGAGCACUUACCAGGUCUUACGCCAAGCCACAUCUGCCGACGAGCUGCUGGGGGGUGAGGAGGAUGGUUCUGGGCUGGGGAUGUAAAAAGGGGAUGGGGGCACGGGGGGCUGUGGCAGCACGAUGGCAUUCUCCCUGCCUGAUGCUGUGUUUUUCUACUCCAGCCUCUUUUUCAGCCACUUUCUCCUGGUCUCCCAUUUUCCAACCAUUUUUAGUUACAAAAGCAAAUUCAGCCCAAGCAGCGAAGGACAAGCAGCACCUUCCCCUCCCCAUUAAACACCCAAAAAGCAAAGCCCAAAGCUCCAGUGCUGGACAAGAAGCAAGAGCAGAUGCUAAAGAGAGGCGGUGGCAGCACCAGCCUUGCGCUGUCACCUUGUCUGGGACGUGCUUGCACCAUCCAGAAAAACGAGAAGGAAAAAACAAUCCCAGGGACACGAGGGCAGCAGUGGACAAAGUGCCUUGGCAGGGACGUCUUUGGCCAGUAUUUGGGGUGGCUUUAGCUGUUGUGAUGCCCGUAAUAGACAUUGAUCAGGUCUGA